CACCACUCCAUUCGAACUGC
rnacentral:misc_RNA from 1 species